rnacentral:rRNA from 1 species
GUAGGUGGCAAGCGUUGUCCGGAAUUAUUGGGCGUAAAGCGCGCGCAGGCGGUUCUUUAAGUCUGAUGUGAAAGCCCACGGCUCAACCGUGGAGGGUCAUUGGAACCUGGAGAACUUGAGUACAGAAGAGGAAAGCGGAAUUCCACGUGUAGCGGUGAAAUGCGUAGAGAUGUGGAGGAACACCAGUGGCGAAGGCGGCUUUCUGGUCUGUAACUGACGCUGAGGCGCGAAAGCGUGGGGAGCAAACAGGAUUAGAUACCCUGGUAGUCCACGCCGUAAACGAUGAGUGCUAAGUGUUAGGGGGUUUCCGCCCCCCUUAGUGCUGCAGCUAACGCAUUAAGCACUCCGCCUGGGAGUACGGCCGCAAGGCUG